rnacentral:lncRNA from 1 species
AGCUCGGGUCAGGGUGUGACGCCGCGCUGUUUCCUGGAGCGGGGUGGUCCUGGCUCGCGAGUGACCCUAUUUUCUCCACCCGCAGGGCCGCGUUCGCACCAAAACCGUAAAGAAAGCGGCCCGGGUCAUCAUUGAGAAGUACUACACGCGCCUGGGCAAUGACUUCCACACCAACAAGCGGGUGUGCGAGGAAAUCGCCAUUAUUCCCAGCAAGAAGCUUCGCAAUAAGAUCGCAGGAACUGAAACUCCUACGUGCACAUCCAGAGGUGCUGUGUACCGUGGGGACCAAUGUGUGUUCUUGGGCGCUUUGUAGCUACGUCACACAUCUGAUGAAGCGGAUUCAAAGAGGCCCUGUGAGAGGUAUCUCCAUCAAGCUGCAGGAGGAGGAGAGAGAGAGGAGAGACAAUUACGUGCCUGAGGUCUCAGCCCUGGAUCAGGAAAUCAUUGAAGUAGAUCCUGACACUAAGGAAAUGCUGAAGCUAUUGGACUUUGGCAGUCUGUCCAACUUGCAGGUCACUCAGCCUACAGUUGGGAUGAACUUCAAAACACCGCGUGGAGCCGUUUGAGUCUUUCUGCUGUGCUGUAAUAUUUUCAAUAAACCUCGGACAACAACCUUG